UGAAGGAAUUAAAACUAGGUUGAGUUAAUAUCCUAAGCUCAAUGUAAUGGUGGAAAAGGAUCCCAAACAGCUAAAGCUAGUUAAAUGGGUUCGAGAGAAAAUACAUUCUAUGCUGAAUAUAAACAAUGAUUUUUUUUUCUUCUUCUACUAGGAUUUUUGUAUAUGAAUUUAAAAGACCUAGCUUUUUUAGUUUCUCAUUUUCAUUUCAAAUUCCAAAAUCAUGUGUAAUUCUUUUUUUUUUUUUUAGUUCUUUUG
rnacentral:misc_RNA from 1 species